rnacentral:rRNA from 1 species
AUUGAACGCUGGCGGCAGGCCUAACACAUGCAAGUCGAGCGGAGCGGCGGACGGGUGGGUAAUGCCUAGGCAUCUGCCUGGUAGUGGGGGACCACGUCCGGAAACAGGCGGUAAUACCGCAUACUCUCAGAUGAGCCAAGGUCGGAUUAGCUAGUGGGUGGGGUAAAGGCCUACCACGGCGACGAUCCGUAACUGGUCUGAGAGGAUGAUCAGUCACACUGGAACUGAGACACGGCCCAGACUCCUACGGGAGGCAGCAGUGGGGAAUAUUGGACAAUGGGCGAAAGCCUGGUCCAGCCAUGCCGCGUGUGGGAAGAAGGUCUUGGGAUUGUAAAGCACUUUCAGUUGGGAGGCGUUACCAACAGAAUAAGCACCGGCUAACUUCGUGCCAGCCGCCGCGGUAAUUC